GGAUGAACGCUAGCUACAGGCUUAACACAUGCAAGUCGAGGUGCAUCGGGAAGAAAGCUUGCUUUCUUUGCCGGCGACCGGCGCACGGGUGAGUAACACGUAUCCAACCUGCCCUUUACUCGGGGAUAGCCUUUCGAAAGAAAGAUUAAUACCCGAUAGCAUAAUGAUUCCGCAUGGUUUCAUUAUUAAAGGAUUCCGGUAAAGGAUGGGGAUGCGUUCCAUUAGGUUGUUGGUGGGGUAACGGCCCACCAAGCCUUCGAUGGAUAGGGGUUCUGAGAGGAAGGUCCCCCACAUUGGAACUGAGACACGGUCCAAACUCCUACGGGAGGCAGCAGUGAGGAAUAUUGGUCAAUGGGCGCUAGCCUGAACCAGCCAAGUAGCGUGAAGGAUGAAGGCUCUAUGGGUCGUAAACUUCUUUUAUAUAAGAAUAAAGUGCAGUAUGUAUACUGUUUUGUAUGUAUUAUAUGAAUAAGGAUCGGCUAACUCCGUGCCAGCAGCCGCGGUAAUACGGAGGAUCCGAGCGUUAUCCGGAUUUAUUGGGUUUAAAGGGAGCGUAGGUGGACUGGUAAGUCAGUUGUGAAAGUUUGCGGCUCAACCGUAAAGUUGCAGUUGAUACUGUCAGUCUUGAGUACAGUAGAGGUGGGCGGAAUUCGUGGUGUAGCGGUGAAAUGCUUAGAUAUCACGAAGAACUCCGAUUGCGAAGGCAGCUCACUGGACUGCAACUGACACUGAUGCUCGAAAGUGUGGGUAUCAAACGGGAUUAGAUACCCUGGUAGUCCACACAGUAAACGAUGAAUACUCGCUGUUUGCGAUAUACAGUAAGCGGCCAAGCGAAAGCAUUAAGUAUUCCACCUGGGGAGUACGCCGGCAACGGUGAAACUCAAAGGAAUUGACGGGGGCCCGCACAAGCGGAGGAACAUGUGGUUUAAUUCGAUGAUACGCGAGGAACCUUACCCGGGCUUAAAUUGCAGUGGAAUGAUGUGGAAACAUGUCAGUGAGCAAUCACCGCUGUGAAGGUGCUGCAUGGUUGUCGUCAGCUCGUGCCGUGAGGUGUCGGCUUAAGUGCCAUAACGAGCGCAACCCUUAUCUUUAGUUACUAACAGGUUAUGCUGAGGACUCUAGAGAGACUGCCGUCGUAAGAUGUGAGGAAGGUGGGGAUGACGUCAAAUCAGCACGGCCCUUACGUCCGGGGCUACACACGUGUUACAAUGGGGGGUACAGAAGGCAGCUAGCGGGUGACCGUAUGCUAAUCCCAAAAUCCUCUCUCAGUUCGGAUCGAAGUCUGCAACCCGACUUCGUGAAGCUGGAUUCGCUAGUAAUCGCGCAUCAGCCACGGCGCGGUGAAUACGUUCCCGGGCCUUGUACACACCGCCCGUCAAGCCAUGGGAGCCGGGGGUACCUGAAGUACGUAACCGCAAGGAUCGUCCUAGGGUA
rnacentral:rRNA from 1 species